CAGCCACCCAGCAAUGCCAGCUCAUGAGAUGUCUCCCAAGUGCCUAGAGCAGCGGUCGCCCACCGGAGGUCCGCGGGCCCGGAGGAGCCCUCCCCAAGGCCGGCAGGCUGGAGGGGGCUGCCAGUCGGUCAAGCAUCAGACGAUGCUCAACCAUGGAGCCGCGCCGGCCGGGCAUGAAGCAACAUUUUUGAUGUACACAGAGAUGAAUGCAGACGCUGAGAAAUGCUGGGAGUAUUUCAAGAAAGAAAAUCUACCACCUCGCGGCCAGAGCUGCUUUUGAUCGCAGGGAACCCUGUCAUCAGAAGCA